AUACCUUUCUUGGCCUUUUGGCUAAGAUCAAGUGUAGUAUCUGUUCUUAUCAGUUUAAUAUCUGAUAUGUGGGCCAUGUGCCCACAACGAUAUUAAAUUUAUUUUUUGUGGGGGAGGGUGCACCACAAUGGCUUGCCAUUGAGGCCCUCAGGUGUCGCCUAGGCGUUGCACUACUGCUCAGGCAGGCGCACCCCAA
rfam:Triticum aestivum genome assembly, contig: Triticum_aestivum_CS42_TGACv1_scaffold_513223_6BS